ACCUGGCCGGCUCAGUUGGAAGAGCAUACAACUCUCGAUUUCAAGGUCAUGAGUUCAAGCCCCAUGCUGGGUG
rfam:Canis lupus familiaris chromosome 27, whole genome shotgun sequence.